AUGCAAGUCGUACGAAGAGCUUCUAGCUCAAGUGGCGGACGGGUGAGUAACACGCAGAAUUUACCUUUAGGAGGGGGACAACAGUUGGAAACGACUGCUAACACCCCAUAUGCUUUAUAGUGAAACGGUUUUUCCGCCUAAAGAGAAGCUUGCGGCUGAUUAGCUUGUUGGUAGGGUAAUAGCCUACCAAGGCGACGAUCAGUAUCUGGUUUGAGAGGAUGAUCAGACACACUGGAACUGAGACACGGUCCAGACUCCUACGGGAGGCAGCAGUAGGGAAUUUUCCGCAAUGGGCGAAAGCCUGACGGAGCAAUACCGCGUGAGGGAUGACUGCCUAUGGGUUGUAAACCUCUUUUUUCAGGGAGGAAUCAAUGACGUGUACCUGAAGAAUAAGCAUCGGCUAACUCCGUGCCAGCAGCCGCGGUAAGACGGAGGAUGCAAGUGUUAUCCGGAAUCACUGGGCGUAAAGCGUCUGUAGGUGGUUAAAUAAGUCAACUGUUAAAUCUUGGAGCUCAACUUCAAAAUCGCAGUCGAAACUAUUAGACUAGAGUAUAGUAGGGGUAAAGGGAAUUUCCAGUGGAGCGGUGAAAUGCGUAGAGAUUGGAAAGAACACCGAUGGCGAAGGCACUUUACUGGGCUAUUACUGACACUCAGAGACGAAAGCUAGGGUAGCAAAUGGGA
rnacentral:rRNA from 1 species